UCUGGGACAAGCCCUGGAAACGGGGUCUAAUACCGGAUAACACUCUGUCCCGCAUGGGACGGGGUUAAAAGCUCCGGCGGUGAAGGAUGAGCCCGCGGCCUAUCAGCUUGUUGGUGGGGUAAUGGCCUACCAAGGCGACGACGGGUAGCCGGCCUGAGAGGGCGACCGGCCACACUGGGACUGAGACACGGCCCAGACUCCUACGGGAGGCAGCAGUGGGGAAUAUUGCACAAUGGGCGAAAGCCUGAUGCAGCGACGCCGCGUGAGGGAUGACGGCCUUCGGGUUGUAAACCUCUUUCAGCAGGGAAGAAGCGCAAGUGACGGUACCUGCAGAAGAAGCACCGGCUAACUACGUGCCAGCAGCCGCGGUAAUACGUAGGGUGCGAGCGUUGUCCGGAAUUAUUGGGCGUAAAGAGCUCGUAGGCGGCUUGUCACGUCGGAUGUGAAAGCUCGGGGCUUAACCCCGAGUCUGCAUUCGAUACGGGCUAGCUAGAGUGUGGUAGGGGAGAUCGGAAUUCCUGGUGUAGCGGUGAAAUGCGCAGAUAUCAGGAGGAACACCGGUGGCGAAGGCGGAUCUCUGGGCCAUUACUGACGCUGAGGAGCGAAAGCGUGGGGAGCGAACAGGAUUAGAUACCCUGGUAGUCCACGCCGUAAACGUUGGGAACUAGGUGUUGGCGACAUUCCACGUCGUCGGUGCCGCAGCUAACGCAUUAAGUUCCCCGCCUGG
rnacentral:rRNA from 1 species